AAAGCUUUAACUUAAUUAAAGUAUCUGGGUUGCAUUCAGAAUAUGUUGGAUAAAUUCCUGCAGGUUUUA
rnacentral:tRNA from 1 species